AGAGUUUGAUCCUGGCUCAGGACGAACGCUGGCGGCGUGCCUAACACAUGCAAGUCGAACGGAAGCAGAGAUUUCGGUUUUUACUUUAGUGGCGAACGGGUGAGUAACGCGUGAGGAACCUGCCUUUCAGUGGGGGACAACAGUUGGAAACGACUGCUAAUACCGCAUAAUACUUUCGAGCGGCAUCGUUUGAAAGUCAAAGAUUUAUUGCUGAAAGAUGGCCUCGCGUCUGAUUAGCUAGUUGGUGGGGUAACGGCCCACCAAGGCGACGAUCAGUAGCCGGUCUGAGAGGAUGAACGGCCACAUUGGGACUGAGAUACGGCCCAGACUCCUACGGGAGGCAGCAGUGGGGAAUAUUGGGCAAUGGGGGAAACCCUGACCCAGCAACGCCGCGUGAAGGAAGAAGGCCUUCGGGUUGUAAACUUCUUUUACCAGGGACGAAAAAAGUGACGGUACCUGGAGAAAAAGCAACGGCUAACUACGUGCCAGCAGCCGCGGUAAUACGUAGGUUGCAAGCGUUGUCCGGAUUUACUGGGUGUAAAGGGCGUGUAGGCGGAGAUGCAAGUUGGGAGUGAAAUCCAUGGGCUCAACCCAUGAACUGCUCUCAAAACUGUAUCCCUUGAGUAUCGGAGAGGCAAGCGGAAUUCCUAGUGUAGCGGUGAAAUGCGUAGAUAUUAGGAGGAACACCAGUGGCGAAGGCGGCUUGCUGGACGACAACUGACGCUGAGGCGCGAAAGCGUGGGGAGCAAACAGGAUUAGAUACCCUGGUAGUCCACGCUGUAAACGAUGAAUACUAGGUGUGGGAGGACUGACCCCUUCCGUGCCGCAGUUAACACAAUAAGUAUUCCACCUGGGGAGUACGACCGCAAGGUUGAAACUCAAAGGAAUUGACGGGGGCCCGCACAAGCAGUGGAUUAUGU
rnacentral:rRNA from 1 species